rnacentral:rRNA from 1 species
ACGGAGGGUGCAAGCGUUGCUCGGAUUUACUGGGCGUAAAGCGACCGCAGGCGGUUUGUCAGGUCCGAUGUGAAAGCCCGGGGCUCAACCUCGGAAGUGCAUCGGAAACCGGCAGACUUGAGUACGGGAGAGGAGAGCGGAAUUCCUGGUGUAGAGGUGAAAUUCGUAGAUAUCAGGAGGAACACCAGCGGCGAAGGCGGCUCUCUGGCCCGAUACUGACGCUCAUGGUCGAAAGCGUGGGGAGCAAACAGG